rnacentral:misc_RNA from 1 species
GAUGAAGAACGCAGCGAAAUGCGAUAGGUAGUGUGAAUUGCAGAUGUAACGUGAAUCAUCGAAUCUUUGAACGCAAAUUGCAUUCCCUGGUAUUCCGGGGAGUAUGCCUGUUUGAGGGUCGCCAAAUACACAUCGAUUAACAUUGCUUUUGAAGUAAAUGUUUUAUCGGAUUUGAGCUUUCUUUAUUCUUUACGAUAAAGUGGCUUAAAAUUUAUUUUUUUUGGUAUCAAGCGUAUUUUACAAUCAAUUUUUGAUUAAAAAAGAACGUUUCGAAUGCCAUCCUUUUAAUGUAAUACGUUUGACUAUAUGUAAUAAAUAUGUAGUUCAUUCGCAUACGAUUCAUAAAUUUUUUUUUUUUGACCUCAAAUCAGGUAAGAGUACCCGCUGAACUUAAGCAUAUCAAUAAGCGGAGGA